CUAAGUGAAAUAAUGACUUCAGACAGAGAAAGAUACCAUAUGAUUUCACUUAUAUGUGGAAUCUUAAAAAAUUAGUGAACCAAUGAAACAGAAAUAAACUCAGAGAACAUUUUGAUGGCUACCAGAUGGGAGGGAUGUUAGGGGCAUGGGUGAAAUAAGGGAAAGGAUUAAGAGGUACAAAUUGGUAGUUGCAAAGUAGUCAUGGGAAUGUAAAGUAUAGCAUAGGGAAUAUAGUCAGUAAUAUUGUAAUAACCAUGUAUGGUGUCAGAUGGGUACUAGAUUUAUUGGGGUGAUCACUUCAUAAGUUAUGUAAAUAUCUAAUCACUGUAUUGUAAACCUAAAACUAAUAAAAUAUUGUAUGUCAACUAAUUGAAAAAAAAAUUAUCAAAAUGAUUAGGGGAUAUUAUAACCUACUAUAAUUUUCUAAUGAGUUGGAAUUUUACCCUACUGGGCUUUUAGUUGUACUUUUUCAGAUUCAAAGAAUGAAUAUGUAUUGUGAAAGGUGAUAUCCUAAUAUCUGCAUUUUGAGGCAAAUAUGGCCUCAAUACUAGAAGUCAGACAUUUUGGAAAGGGUCUCAUUCCGAACAGAUGCAAAAUGUAAAAUAAAAUAUUGUCAAAUAAUACACAGCAUGUAAACUGCAGGCAUACCUCAUUUUAUUGCACUUUAUGGUGCUUGGUAGAUGUUGCGUUUUUUACAAAUUGAAGAGAUCCUUAGCGAUCAAAAAGUAUGACUUGCAUUUUUUAGCAAUAAAAUAUUUGUUUAGAUAUAGUGCUGUGUAUACUUAAAAGACUACAGUGUAAUGUAAACAUAACUUUUGUACGCAUUGGGAAACCAAAAAACUUGUGAGACUCACUUUAUUGCAUUAUUCAUUUUAUUGUGAUGGUCUGGAACUGAACCCACAAUAUCUCCCAGGUAUGCCUGUAAUUAUUUACUAGGAUUCAUUCAGGAUUAUAAGGCCGGUGUUCAAUAGAACAACCAUUAAAUGAACAUCAACUGUGCAAAAUACUAAGUAAUCCAAACUUAAUUACAUAGAACUUAAAAGAUCAAUGAAGUUCAUCAUUCAUCUUCAAUUUAAAUAAUUACUUAAAACCAAGAACUAACAUUCCUAUCAGGAAAAUAUAUAGAAAGCAUUUCUCAAGCAGAAAUUAAACAGUCUUGGCACCAUUUUUAUUUAUAUAUGGUCUAAGAAGCUUAUUGUAAUAAAACCUUAGGAUUCACAGAAAGGUAAAGACAAGGAAAGAAAGCACAAAUAUUUUCUAUUCACAUGGCUUUGUAACUAGUAAAACCUAUAAUAUCAUAUAAAUAUCCUGACAAUAAAAGACUAAUUCAGGAAAUUGCAGGAUAAACAGUUUUUAAAAAUCUCAUUUCUAGAUUCCAACAGUGACAAACUACAAUUUAAAAACUUUGGAUAUUAAUAUAUACGAGCCAUUUAAAGUUAUACAACUAUAUUGGGAUAUAGCAGAUUGAAGGACCUACAUCCUAGGGUAAUGGAAAAAAGUAACCAGGGAGUCUGAAAACCAAAAUUAUAGUUCUCAUUUCACUGCUUACCAGUUGUAUGGUCUUGGAAAAAUCACAUAGCUUCAAUUUCAUCAUCUAUAAAAUAGAAAUAAUACUUUGCUGAAUUAUUUGGGGGAUUACAUUUAUGUAUAUGAAAUCAUGUUCAAAAGAAUGGCCACAGGUGACAUGUAGAUUUACUAUACUUCCACUUAACAUUCCAAUUGGAUGCUUAGGUAAUGACAGUUAUGAUAAAUUAUUUAGGAAAAAAAGCAAAACUAUGUCUUUAUAACCUGGGAAAAAAUGGGAGUCUUGCACUUAUAAUCCUUAAGACAUGCUAUUAAGUAAUCUUUCUAAAUAUACUAUGGUACUGAAUAGAAAGUUUAGCUAAGACUAAUAAGCCAAUUGGAAAAAAAGAAAUAUGUAAUAACUGCCAGAAAGACUAGCUGGAUGUCAAUAUGAAAAAAAGAAAUUAGAUCCUAUUAUAGAUGAUAUAACUAAUUCCACAUCAAUUAAAAUGUUAAGUAUAAAGGUAAAAAUAAAAAGACUACAGUUUUCAUCCUAAUAAUGGUAAAAGGAAAUGUAAGUGCAAAUCCAUAAGGCUUUUUACUCUUUACUAGGCAAAUUUAUAAAAGGACUGGCAAAUUGAAAUGACUUUGACCUAGUUCAUGCUAUUAGCAAAAAUUUUUCAAUUGUAUGUGUCCUCAUACCAGUAGCAUUAUUUUAUUAGUGGUUUUUAAAAUAACUAGAAAAUAUAGUGAGAGCUCUAUAACCAAUCUAUCUUUCGAUAGAUAUAACUCAUUUGAGUAGCAUAUGCCCAGGAAAAUAUUUAAAAGAUAUUUUUAGUAAGUCCGUUCAUUUGAGUUAAAAAAAUGACAAUCCCAAUAGUUGGGCUAUGGAUAAGUAAAUUUUUGUGUUUGCUAUUGCUAUCAUACACUGUUAUGUAGCCAUUAAAUAAUAAUCGUCUUUGUAAAACUAUGGCAAAAAUGUUUGAAUGAGACUUAAAAUGAGACAUAAAUUAUUGUAUUUACUGAUUAUAUUAUGUACACUGAAAAAAAAAUUGGAGUUUGA